rnacentral:lncRNA from 10 species
UGGCUUCACUCAUAAGGCAGUCUUAUGGCAAAGACUUCAGAAUAUAGUGAGACAUUAAAAGAUUCAUUAAAAUAAAGCAAAGAUCCAUGAAUUUUGAGUUACAGUGUACAUUAAUUUUUAAUAAUAUUUGUAUUUCAGGUCAGUUGCUCCGAUUAAAAAUGUUUCGAGAAGAUCAUGGGUCGUGGAUGACAAUGUUCUUCAGCACAAUUCUCUUUCUCUUCAUAUUUUCUCACAUAUACAACACGAUUCUUCUAAUGGAUGGGAACAUGGGGUAGGUUUUCUUUCCCCUUUCUACUGUGGUGAGUGUUAUGUUUGAAACUUGUAAGAAUUUAAGAGUUUUUUAGCUUGUAGUAGUCUAAGUCUGCUUUACAAAUAUUCUACCCUAAGAAGAAGGAGUAUUUUAUGUAUUUUUCUUACCUAAGACAUUAACAUUUUUUUUUUCCAGGAAGCAUAUAGUACAUUACAAUAUUUAGAUUUUGUUCUUUAUCCUUUAGGACUUUUAUAUAGGGUGGUGGGAGGGCAGGUACUAAUUUCAUUAUACUGACAAGGGGGUAUGAGAAUCAGGAAAUCUUAUUGAUUUGCAUAUAUUCAAAUGAUUCAUAGAGUGGGGCUAAGAUGAAGGUUUCCAGGUUUGCAAUUUCAUUGGUCUGCAAUGCCUGGCUAAAUAAAAGUGGUACAGGAGGCAUUUUCUUUAACUCUCUUGACAGUCCUGAGAGAGAGAGACCUUUGUUAUAAAUAGGUUGUUUUAAAAGUGGGCCACAGCUGGGCAUGGUGGCUCAUGCUUGUAAUCCCAGCACUUUGGGAGGCUGAGGCAGCGGAUCACAAGGUCAGGAGAUGGAGACCAUCCUAGCCAACAUGGUGAAACUCCAUCUUUACUAAAAAUAUAAAAAUUAGGUAGGCGUGGUGGUGUAGGCCUGUGGUCCCAGCUACUUGGGAGGCUGAGGCAGGAGAAUUGCUUGAACCCAGGAAGCGGAGGUUGCAGUGAGCCAAGAUCGUGCCACUGCACUCUAGCCUGGCAACAAAGCAAGACUCCGUCUCUAAAUAAAUAAAUAAAUAAAUAAAUAAAUAAAGUGGGCCACCCUGUAUUAACUCCUAGCUUGUGAUAUAUACUUAUCAAAUCACUAAGACAUGAAAUAUGUGCCAACAAGUAGUUGUAUAAUUUUUCUAACUUUCUUCACUUCUUUCUUUCAUUAUAUAAUGAAACACAAGGAUUGGUCUUUCAGUAUAAUUUCCUCUUGGUUUGUUCUCAGUAAGUUUAUUUGAGAAGGAAUCUCGCUGUUGUCAGCCAGGGCUGGAGUGCAGUGACGCGAUCUCGGCUCACUCACUGCAACCUCUGCCUCCCGGGUUCCAGCAAUUCUCCUUCCUCAGCCUCCCUAGUAGCUGAGAUUAUAGGCGCCUGCCACCACACCUGGCUAAUUUUUGUUAUUUUUUAGUAGAGGUGGGAUUUCACCAUGUUGGUUCGUCUGGUCUCGAAUUCCUGACCUCAGGUGAUCCACCCGCUUUGGCCUCCCAAAGUGCUGGGAUUACAGGCUUGAGCCACUGCAUCUGGCCUGCUCUCAGUAAGUUUUAAGGCCGGAAUGUAAGGAGAUUGGCUUAGUAUUAAAAUUAGAUUUGUGACAAUAAUAAACCACUUUAGGUAUUUGUUGUGUGUUGAAAUAGUUACUGAGAAAGAUUUUGAUCUAUUUUCCCCAAUAGAUCAGAAAGUUAGGUAAUAUCCUUUUCUUCUAAAUGUAGGCUAGGCAGGAUUAUUGUCCAGUUCCAUGGGAAACAUGGAACUGUUUUGAUGUUACGUAUAGAUUUUGGCUACCAUUGUUCAGUACUGAGAG